ACCUGGGUAGCUUAGCCGGUGGAGUGUGCAAGUCUUAAUCUCAGAGUUGUGGGUUCAAACCCCACACUGGGUG
rnacentral:tRNA from 1 species